UACGUAGGGAGCUAGCGUUGUCCGGAAUCAUUGGGCGUAAAGCGCGCGUAGGCGGCCCGGUAAGUCCGCUGUGAAAGUCAAAGGCUCAACCUUUGAAUGUCAGCGGAUACUGCCGGGCUAGAGUCCGGAAGAGGCGAGUGGAACUCCUGGUGUAGCGGUGAAAUGCGCAGAUAUCAGGAAGAACACCCGUGGCUAAGGCGGCUCUCUAGUACGGUACUGACGCUGAGACGCGAAAGCGUGGGGAGCGAACAGG
rnacentral:rRNA from 1 species